CAAAAACAUUGCUACAUGAAAUUAACAUAUGUAGUACAUUCCUGCCCAGUGACGAAAGUUAAACGGCCGCGGUAUCCUAACCGUGCAAAGGUAGCAUAAUCAUUUGCCUAUUAAUUGUAGGCUAGUAUGAACGGAUAAACGAAAUAAAAACUGUCUCAACUAAUCAGAUAAAAAUUAUUUUCUACAUGAAGAAAUGUAGAUAAAUUCGAAGGACAAGAAGACCCUGUAGAGCUUUAUUUAAGUAAGGCAAAAAACUUUAUAAAAUUCGGUUGGGGCGACCACGGGACUAAACAACACCCCAAAUUUAAUAGAUUCAUAAAUCAAUUAUUUGACCCUUUAAAGAUCAUGAAACAAAGCUACCUUAGGGAUAACAGGCUAAUCUCAUUAAAGAGUUCAUAUCGACAAUGAGGAUUGGCACCUCGAUGUUGGCUUAGGGCCCCAUUAUAGCGCAAAAGUUAUAUAAGAUGGUUUGUUCAACCAGUAAAACCCUACGUGAUCUGA
rnacentral:rRNA from 1 species